rnacentral:rRNA from 1 species
UGGGGAAUUUUGGACAAUGGGCGAAAGCCUGAUCCAGCAAUGCCGCGUGUGUGAAGAAGGCCUUCGGGUUGUAAAGCACUUUUGUCCGGAAAGAAAUCCUUGGCUCUAAUACAGUCGGGGGAUGACGGUACCGGAAGAAUAAGCACCGGCUAACUACGUGCCAGCAGCCGCGGUAAUACGUAGGGUGCAAGCGUUAAUCGGAAUUACUGGGCGUAAAGCGUGCGCAGGCGGUUUGCUAAGACCGAUGUGAAAUCCCCGGGCUCAACCUGGGAACUGCAUUGGUGACUGGCAGGCUAGAGUAUGGCAGAGGGGGGUAGAAUUCCACGUGUAGCAGUGAAAGUGCGUAGAGAUGUGGAGGAAUACCGAUGGCGAAGGCAGCCCCCUGGGCCAAUACUGACGCUCAUGCACGAAAGCGUGGGGAGCAAACAGGAUUAGAUACCCGUGGUAGUCCAGCGCCCUAAACGAUGUCAACUAGUUGUUGGGGAUUCAUUUCCUUAGUAACGUAGCUAACGCGUGAAGUUGACCGCCUGGGGAGUACGGUCGCAAGAUUAAAACUC